GUGCUAGAGUGUGGGGAGAGUGGGUGGUGUUUUGAGCGGCUGGGGUGGUGUUUUGGGCCGCUUGGGUUCUAAGGUUGACUGGCUAAACGUCGGGUUAGGGGGAAGACUGGGAGAAGAGAGACGGUGAGCUGUUUCAUUGUGCUUUUGGAUUUUUAUUUUUAAGUUUAUUUAUUUAUUUAUUUUUCUCACUUUUUUCAGUUUUUUUUUAAAUUUUUAAAUUUUUAAAUAUUUUAAUUUAGAUUGACAAUUUUAGCCCUCAAAUUAACAGUCAAAUUGACAAAAUGACUCAAUUGAAACAGAUGAGAGAGUUGAAUGACCUAAUUGCCUCAAAAAAAAGUUCGAGGACCCAAUUGCAACUCGAGGUAAAGUUCAUGGACCUCUGCAGUUAAAAACCCUAAAGUAAAUUUAGCCCGUCCGAUUUGCAAUUCCUGGGUGAGUCCCUGCUCACGACGGCCUUCCUUGCCCGCCAGUCUAGGAGAUAGAGUGCGGGGCCUUGGCUCUGUCUUGGGCCUGUUUCCCUGGUACUUGGGUCUGUUACUCUAUUUUGCUGUUUGGGAUCGUGAUCUGUUUUUCCGUAGACUGGUUUUGGCAUCGACGGCUCCCUCUCACUCGCUGGCGCUCUCUUUCUUGCUGCCCCUCUCUCUCUCUCUCGCUGGCUCGCUCGUUCUCGCGCUCUAUGUCCAUAAGAGCCUCCCGUCCUCCAUUCCAUAGGUAACAACUGUCCUUCCUUCUCUUAGAAUUAUUUUCUAUGUUUUUUGAAAAUUCAAUUUCUAUAUCCCUAAUUUGAUUUAGGGUUAAAAUGUUUGGGUAUUUAAUUGUAAAUUAUCUGUGAAAAUCAUUAUCUUUUUUAUAUAUUUUCGAUUUAUAUAGGAAUUAGGGCAAAUUUCUGAAUUUUUUUUAGUGUUUAGGGAUUUAUACUAGUAGAGAUUAUGUGCGAAUAUGCGUUUGUUUCUCAAUUGUUUAUGAGAUUCUGAAUCAUUCUUGGUGUUUAUGAUUUGAUGUUGUAACAAGAGAUGAGUUUGUUCCUCAAAAGGAAGGGAGUUGUUGGUUGAGUACUUGGAAAAUGACAUUGACAUCUUCCAGAGUGUGAAUGAUUGGGUUGGUAUUGUAAUUUUCAAGUUCUGAUAUCUGAAAUAAAAUUGAUAGCAUGUCAAACAUGAUUAUUGUUCAAUGUGCGGAUCUACUUGCUGCGGUGAAUUCUGUGGACAAUCUCUUUGGGAGGACUGGAAUACUAGAAAAGAAAUUAUAUCUGAUAUUAUUGAUCUGUCAAAUAAACCGGAAGAAAGAUUAACACUUGUGCAGCAGGAGCCUUUAGAGAAAGGAUCAACCAUCACAUAUGUUCCUACUAGAAAAGGAACGUUGAGCAUUGCAAACUAUCUCUGUAGGUGUGGCGUGAAGGCUGCUGCCUAUAAUGUAGCGGUAUGUCAUGGAUUAUAACAGUUUUUUCAUGUAUAUAAUGUGUGCCGAUGACAGCUUCGUUUUUAUUGUCAUAUUGCCAACUCAUUGAGUUCCACUCAUUAUCCAAUUGCUAACUCAAAGAUGAUUCAUGCUGCCAUCAAAAUCUAUCUCUUGUUUGCCACCAAAAUAUGUUUCGUAUAUGCUUCAAAAGGAUUUACUAGAGCUUCAACAUCGCGUCAUUUACUAUUCACUAAAGCUUUAUGAAUAUUUUUUUUAUUUUUUUACUAAGAAGUCUUCAUUACUAUUUUAUGAAUUUUUCAGAUGAACUCAAAAGAUGUACAAAGUGUUACAAGCACUUUGUGUAUUUUCAUGUUAUUUAAUGAAUUAUUCUGAUUUUUGGAAGUUAAAAGUAGUAAUAAACGUAAGCAAAUGAGUUUCCAACAGGUGUUAGUAUCGCGUAGCACCACGUGUCAUCAGCUUCAUUUUUGUAUCUUUAACUUAAAAAAAUUCACAAACAAUGAAUAAAAAAUGAAAAAAAAAUGCACCGAAAAUUUCUAAAAAAACUCAUGGCGACAUUAUCUUCGACUAUGAUGUGUGAUAAUAAAAUUUUGGCCUUGGAAAAUUUGAAGUAAUCAUUGGAGGAAGAGUUGUUGUAAAGGAGAGUAGUGAUUUUCAACAUAGUAUUAUUGUUAGCAUCAGAACAAACUUGACUUUGAGAAAUUAUUUGAAUUUUACAUGUCAAAAUUAUAUUUUAAAGCUUAGCCGCAGUAGACAUUAGAGAGUUUACAGGGAUGAAGCAACAGACAUUAGAGUUUAUAGGGAUGAAGCAAGUGAAGGAGUUUAUUCCACUGAUAAUAGCUCUGUCAAUGAGUUGUCAAGCUGCCAUUGUGCUGCUGGUUUUGCGUCAGUGGAUUUUAUUAUUCUGAGACCAAGGUUGUGCAAAUUCCAUGCGGUGGAUGGAGUCGUCCUCAUUCCAUUAUCUUGGUAAUGUACCAGAAAUAAAGAACUGCUUUACAUAUGUUAAGGAUGAAUUCAUUUAUAUACAUAGGCAGUGGGUGCUUGAUGGUGAAAGGAAGAUACCAUGGGAGAGAGAUGCAUUCCAUAUGCUUUGUCUCAGAAGGAUUUCAACCUGGAGUAUAUGGGAAGCACAACCUCUUCUCUGCAUCUAGUUGGAACGCAACUGGGUGUGAAGAUAGAACUGUGAGGUUGACCAGGUGUUGAGAAUUGGUCUGCAUCAAAAUUGCUUGGGGAGCAUGUUGGUGGAUCAGCUGUGUCAAAGAUAAGCAUAGUUUCGUCAGAUGUGACCAACAUACCCGAUAUGAGAAAUGGACAAAAUGCAGCAAUGGAGAACAUAGAAACUCCGGUUUUGUUGAUUUCUGUUGGUGCAAAGCGGGUAUUGACUUCUUGGCUACUAAGAAGUAGGAAGGUAAACAAGAAGAAAGAACAACAUAAUAUCACUGGAAAUAGCAAUAAAUGCUUCAAAAGGAUUCACUAGA